rnacentral:rRNA from 1 species
CGUGUAGGCGGCCAUGUAGGUCCGUUGUGAAAACUCGAGGCUCAACCUCGAGACGCCGAUGGAAACCAUGUGGCUAGAGUCCGGAAGAGGAGAGUGGAAUUCCUGGUGUAGCGGUGAAAUGCGCAGAUAUCAGGAAGAACACCCGUGGCUAAGGCGGCUCUCUAGUACGGUACUGACGCUGAGACGCGAAAGCGUGGGGAGCGAACA